ensembl:lncRNA
UCCGUGGCCACCCCGAGGACCUGACUUUCCCUUUGAGUGUCUCACGAACCUCUCAGGUUUUCACAAGAGCCUUCCGGCUGCGGGGAUGACAGUGGGAUGAAGGGAGGAGGCCGGGGCAGUGUCUGGAUGAGCCACGAGCAGACGUGGGCCCCGUGCGGGGGUGAGCAUGGGAGGGCCUCGCUAUCUCCUCCUCAGGACCUUUGCACGGGCCGCGCCGUGCCCGGAACCCUCCCCCCAGGAUCAGAGAGGGGCUGAGGGUGUGCAGCCCACUGAGCUGGGUCUGGCCACCGCCUGGCUCCAUCCACUCGAAGGGACUGGAACAGGAGACCACUCCAACAGGCCUAUGAGUCGGGGGAGACACCAAGGCGAGGUCCAUGGGAUGUCUGUGAACGCCCGUGCCUUGCGACCACCCAGCCCCGGGACCCUGCGCCCGCCGGUGGGCUGCUGGCCCGUAAUUGGAUUUGCCAGGCAGCUGUCAGGGCUAAGCAGGCCCACUUGAUGCAGCCACGCUCAGCCGGUAAUUGGUGAAGUUAGCAGGUCGGCGGGGGCAGAGGUCGGGUGGUUAAUGCUGUCGUGGGGGCUUUGAUGAAGUCAGCCCUGCUGCAGGGCUGGGAGCCGCGGUGCGAACCUCUGUGUGCCAUGGGGCUCCGCUGCCCCUCGCCUAACUCGGUUAGGGGGUCUCCAGCUGCCGGCCCGGCCCCGGGGCUCUGCAGGGCUGGACCCAGGAGGCCUGAGCCUGCAGGGGCAGCAGAUCAGCUGCUGUGUGCUCCUGCCCAGGGCCCUGCAGCACCCGAGGGGACUUGCGGGCCCCUAGGGAUCUUGGGGUGCUGCCCUGUGGCGGGGACGGGGGGGACAAGGGCCGGGCCGCCAGGAUCUCAGGGCGAGGCCUGAUAUCUUCAUGCUGAAGCCAGCAGUGCACCCCGCCCCCGCGGCCGGCGGCGGACCUAACCAGUGGUGGUUAGGGGCCCCAGGCCGUGGGCUGGGCAGGCGGGCGGCGGUCAUGACCCUCACGACCCCGACAACGCGCGCGCACGGACGCAGGCACGCAUGCAAGGGCGCGGGCACGGACACGCACGCACGGACACGGACAUGCGCGCACGGACACGCACACACGCACGCACGCACGCACGCGCACGCAC